rnacentral:rRNA from 1 species
UCUUGGUCAUUUAGAGGAAGUAAAAGUCGUAACAAGGUCUCCGUAGGUGAACCUGCGGAGGGAUCAUUACAGAGUUCAUGCCCUCCGGGUAGAUCUCCCACCCAGUGUUAUCACUACUCUCGUUGCUUUGGCGGGCCGCUGGGCCCUGCCCGGCCGCCGGCCCCGGCUGGCGCGUGCCCGCCAGAGACCUUCACAGACUCUGAAUGUUAGUGUCGUCCGAGUAACUAUACAAUCGUUAAAACUUUCAACAACGGAUCUCUUGGUUCUGGCAUCGAUGAAGAACGCAGCGAAAUGCGAUAAGUAAUGCGAAUUGCAGAAUUCAGUGAGUCAUCGAAUCUUUGAACGCACAUUGCGCCCUGUGGUAUUCCGCAGGGCAUGCCUGUUCGAGCGUCAUUUCAACCCUCAAGCCCCGCUUGGUGUUGGGCCCCGCCCGCCGUGGCCGGCCCUAAAGACAGUGGCGGCGCCGCCUGGCCCUCAGCGUAGUACAGCUUUCGCUCCAGGGUCCGGCGGCCGCCUGCCAGAACCCCCCC